CAGGUGGAGACACUUAGGUGUUAAAAAAGAAACUCCUCAAGGCCGGGGAUUUAACUUGGUGCUGCAUCUGCUGCAUCUGCCUCACAAGCGUAAGGUCCUGAGUUCGAUCCCUGGUACCAAGAAACUCCGCAUGGUUGGCAGAACUACACAGGAUGACACCUGCAAGACAACAGUUGGCCUGAGUAACUGAAAAAGACGUGACGUGAAGAGUGCAUUUUCACGGAGAACGAAGGCAGCCCACGGGCAGGAUGAAGAGGAGGUGGGGCCAGAGGCAGCCCCAAGGGCACAGUUAUGGACACUCUCGCAAGAAGGGCAGGAAGGCAGAUUUCUGUGGCAGCUGCAUAUCAAGGACCUUGCGCUUUCGAGGCAGGCAGUGGAACCCCUGAGCUAAAUCCCCGGCCCUGGUAUUUACUUCAAAAUAAUGUCCAGAACAGCGUGAGACAGGUGAAGGUACAGAGGAAACAAGCUUGGCGGUGAGUUGGUAAGGCAACUAGUGACCAUAUGGGGGUUCAGUAGGC
rnacentral:lncRNA from 1 species